rnacentral:tRNA from 1 species
GGGGAUUUAGCUCAGUGAUGUGAGCGCCUGCCUGGCAAGCACAAGGUUGUGAGUUCAAUCCCCA